GUCGAUAGAAGAAUGUAGAUAAGGGAAGUCGGCAAACUAGAUCCGUAACUUCGGGAAAAGGAUUGGCUCUAAGGGCUGAGCGGUUGGAGCUUCGGCACUGCAACGGACAGUACUUGGGUUGGUAUGGUGACGGAUGGCUCUCGGGCUGACUGUCACUGCCGCCUUCCCUUGUCCGUCCGUGAACGAGCCGAGGCUGUGGUCGAAGGGUCAAACCUUCACCCUCCUCCGCAUUCAACAGCUAACUUAGAACUGGAGCGGACAAGGGGAAUCCGACUGUUUAAUUAAAACUAAGCAUUGCGAUGGCUGGAGACGGUGUUGACGCAAU
rnacentral:rRNA from 1 species